UACGUAGGGGGCAAGCGUUGUCCGGAUUUAUUGGGCGUAAAGAGCUCGUAGGCGGUUUGGUAAGUCGGAUGUGAAAUCUCCAGGCUCAACCUGGAGGGGUCAUUCGAUACUGCCAUGACUAGAGUUCGGUAGGGGAGUGUGGAAUUCCUGGUGGAGCGGUGAAAUGCGCAGAGAUCAGGAGGAACACCGGUGGCGAAGGCGGCACUCUGGGCCGGUACUGACGCUGAGGAGCGAAAGCGUGGGGAGCGAACAGG
rnacentral:rRNA from 1 species